GUGCCUACUGAGCUGAAACACAGU
rnacentral:ncRNA from 6 species